rnacentral:tRNA from 1 species
GCAUUGGUGGUUCAGUGGUAGAAUUCUCACCUUCUCUGCAGGAGAUCCAGGUGUGAUUCCUGGUCAGUGUA